AAUCCAUAGGUUAAUGAGGCGAACCGGGGGAACUGAAACAUCUAAGUACCCCGAGGAAAAGAAAUCAACCGAGAUUCCCCCAGUAGCGGCGAGCGAACGGGGAGGAGCCCAGAGCCUGAAUCAGCAUGUGUGUUAGUGGAAGCGUCUGGAAAGGCGCGCGAUACAGGGUGACAGCCCCGUACACAAAAGCGCAUGUGCUGUGAGCUCGAUGAGUAGGGCGGGACACGUGGUAUCCUGUCUGAAUAUGGGGGGACCAUCCUCCAAGGCUAAAUACUCCUGACUGACCGAUAGUGAACCAGUACCGUGAGGGAAAGGCGAAAAGAACCCCGGCGAGGGGAGUGAAAAAGAACCUGAAACCGUGUACGUACAAGCAGUGGGAGCCCCACCACCAAAGCAUUUGCUGUACCGCGUUGACGGAGCGAAGCGACGUCAAACCGAUAAAACAGCAGUGUAAAGUGAGCCGCAGGGCGCUUUGCGCGACAGCGCAAAGGCAGGCGGUUUCGCGUAGCGAAAGCGAAUGCUUUGGGGUGGGGUGACUGCGUACCUUUUGUAUAAUGGGUCAGCGACUUAUAUUCUGUAGCAAGGUUAACCGAAUAGGGGAGCCGGAGGGAAACCGA
rnacentral:rRNA from 1 species